rnacentral:rRNA from 1 species
AGCAGCCGCGGUAAUUCCAGCUCCAAUAGCGUAUAUUAAAGUUGUUGCAGUUAAAAAGCUCGUAGUUGAAUUUCGGGAUCAAUAUAUCGGUCGUGCCUUGGUACGUACUGGUAUCAUUGGUUUCUCCUUUCUGACGAACCAUGAUGUCAUUAAUUUGGUGUUAUGGGAAGUUAGGACUGUUACUUUGAAAAAAUUAGAGUGUUUAAAGCAGGCUUUAGCUUGAAUACAUUAGCAUGGAAUAAUGAAAUAGGACGUUCGAACCUAUUUUGUUGGUUUCUAGGAUCAACGUAAUGAUUAAUAGGGAUAGUUGGGGGCAUUAGUAUUCAAUUGUCAGAGGUGAAAUCCUUGGAUUUAUUGAAGACUAACUACUGCGAAAGCAUUUGCCAAGGAUGUUUUCAUUAAUCAAGAACGAAAGUUAGGGGAUCGAAGACGAUCAGAUACCGUCGUAGUCUUAACCAUAAACUAUGCCGACUAGGGAUCGGAUGAUGUUAAUUUUUAAUGACUCAUUCGGCGCCUUACG